UACAGAGGGUGCGAGCGUUAAUCGGAAUUACUGGGCGUAAAGCGCGCGUAGACGGUUUUGUAAGUCAGAUGUGAAAUCCCCGGGCUCAACCUGGGAAUGGCGAUGGAUACUGGCAAGCUAGAGUGUGUCAGAGGAUGGUGGAAUUUCCGGUGUAGCGGUGAAAUGCGUAGAGAUCGGAAGGAACAUCAGUGGCGAAGGCGGCCAUCUGGGACAACACUGACGCUGAAGCACGAAAGCGUGGGGAGCAAACAG
rnacentral:rRNA from 1 species